rnacentral:lncRNA from 1 species
CUAUAAACUACCAUGAAACAUUGUGAAUCUCUACUGACCCUGGUUUGCAUCACAUUACUUCCCGCAGCCUCAGAGGCCUCGCCUGUGACUGGACACGUUGGAGGUGAUGUCAUCCUGCCAUGUGAGAAGGAGGAUCCAAAUAUCAAAAUCAGUCAAGUUCAGUGGGAUCACAUGAAUCCAAAAUCGAAUCACAGCUACAGAAUUUUAGUUUUUAAUCCCAAUCUUGGACUGAACAUUUCUAAAUCACCUCUGAGGGACAGGGUGGAGAUCAGUGGAUUUUCACUCAGGAUUAAAAAUGUCACAAUGACGGAUGAAGGCACCUACACCUGCAGAGUUACAGCCUAUCCUACUGGUGUCUUUCACAGAACGAUCAACCUCAUUGUUCGAGCUCAGAGCUUCCAGCCGUCGUCAGCCGUGAUCCACUCGACGGUCGCUGUGGUGCUGCUGGUAGCGGUCCUGGCAGCCAUAGCUUACCUCACCUUCAUCAGAUGUGGUUCCUCAGUCAGACGUUGCGCCGCUAAUCCCAGGAGUGCGGCCGUGGACGCCCCCAGGCGCGAGGACGUGGUUUACUCUCAAGUCAAGCUGAAAACUCCCAGAGGUUCCGCAUCUCCAUCCAGACACCAACACGCAGGCGCCGUGAGCCAGGACGUCACCUACGCAGGGCUCGUGUUUCAGCACCAGCGGCCCACGUAGCUGCAACAACACUGUGUUACACAGAAGGUCCAUGGUCCGACCGCGGCUCUGUUAAGUGUCAGGUUCAAACCUGAGGGUUCUGCUGUCAUGGACCUGCUUGAGAACAACAGCUCAGGGAGCCAGUUUCAGGGAACUGUUUAAGUCCAGUUGUGACCGGGUCUUUCGUACCCCAUACGUUCCUGCGUUGGGCCCGUUUUGCAGCGUGUGGCUGGUCACUGCUGAUGUCUGCCCUCUGUCCAUACUGUAGUAACGAUGCAUAUCAUUACUGGUAGCUGCUAAUAGUCACUGUCUGACAGCAUUUUCUGGAAGCGAUCGUGGGUGGUGUUGUCUUUUAUUAGCUUUUUGUGUUUUUCCUUUAAAUUCAGCUUGUUUAAAAGUUCACAGUGAACCUUAAUGGUUGAUGAAGAAAUGUGGGAGUGGACAGAGGUCACCGAAUGCUUUGUUUGUUAAUAAAGUUCUGCAUUUUUACA